AGAAUUAAAGCUUUUUGACGUAGGGUGAUAUAUCAAAGAAGAAGGAUGAAAUAUAUAUAUAUAAAGAACAAGACCCUCUCGAUCAAAACAAAAUCUUUUUAUAAACUCUUGUUAUAUACUAUAUAUAUAUAUAUAUAUAUAUAUAUAUAUAUAUAUAUGUAUGUAUAUGUAUCAUCAAUUAAUGUUUCUUGGGGAUCGGAACUAUGCUGGUUGGCAAGGAAGAAUAAGUAGUCUUGAGUAGCUUGUAGUUGCUGUGGGUGUUGCUGCUAAUCAUCAUCUUCACAUUAUUAUUUGGCUUCAUCCUCAUCAUCUCAUCAUCAUCAUCAUCGCUGUUAUUAUUAUUAAUAACAUGAUCACCAUCGGACGAUAGAACUUCGAAUUGCUGCUGCUGUUUGUUGAUGAUGGUGUCUGCAGGUAGGGGGCGGGGGUAAUAGAAAUCUGUGGGGAAGAAGUAGUACUGAAGCCCAGCCAUUAAUUAAUUGAUUAUAUGCUCGCUCGAUCUCUCUCUCUCUCUUUGUUGUCUGGAAUAUCUCUAGCUAAAAGUUUUUAAUUUUGUGGUGCUUCUGUGAUCACUUUAUGUUAAUUUAUAGAGGGAUCGAGAGGCCGAGAGGGAGAGGGAGAGAAGAAUAUUCAAAGAAACUAGUUAGUUUAUGUACGUAUUCAAUAUUACUGACUUGGGCACUACGUUAAUCUGUU
rnacentral:lncRNA from 1 species